AUACGGAGGAUCCGAGCGUUAUCCGGAUUUAUUGGGUUUAAAGGGUGCGCAGGCGGCCAUUUAAGUCAGCGGUUAAAUCGUGGGGCUCAACCCCAUUCUGCCGUUGAUACUGGGUGGCUUGAUUGCGGUCGAGGUUGGCGGAAUUCGUUGUGUAGCGGUGAAAUGCAUAGAUAUGACGAAGAACACCGAUUGCGUAGGCAGCUGACCAGACCGCAAAUGACGCUCAUGCACGAAAGUGCGGGGAUCUAACAGGAUUAGAUACCCUGGUAGUCCGCACAGUAAACGAUGAAUACUUGUUUUCGGCGAUAUAAUGUCGGAGGCAAAGCGAAAGCGAUAAGUAUUCCACCUGGGGAGUACGCCGGCAACGGUGAAACUCAAAGGAAUUGACGGGG
rnacentral:rRNA from 1 species